CAUGGAGUUUGAUCCUGGCUCAGAUUGAACGCUGGCGGAAUGCUUUACACAUGCAAGUCGAACGGUAGAGGGGGUCAACCCCUUGAGAGUGGCGAACGGGUGAGUAAUAUAUCGGAACGUGCCCAGUCGUGGGGGAUAACGUAGUGAAAAUUACGCUAAUACCGCAUACGAUCUAAGGAUGAAAGUCGGGGAUCGCAAGACCUCGCGCGACUGGAGCGGUCCGAUAUC
rnacentral:rRNA from 1 species